ensembl:lincRNA 4930548G14Rik RIKEN cDNA 4930548G14 gene
AUGGACUCAAGAAAACGGAAGAUAACUUACUCUGAACCCAGUCACAUGAAUUCUUCCAUGAUAGGACUGAAGAGACAAGAAUGUCACAAGCAGACUGAGAGUAUGAACAGAAGGUGCUUUCCAAAGUCUGAGGUUCCCAAUAAUCUAAGUUCAGUUACUUUUACACUUGGACUGAAUAUAGGGAUAAGCAAACCAAUAAUUUUGUGUCCUUUGUCAGUGACUAUAAUCAGGAACCAACACUGCUGUUUGUGGACAUUUGUUGCUGCAACAAUUGCCAGAAAGCUUGUGGCAACUAAGUAUCUAUCUAUCAAUAAUUAA